AACGAACGCUGGCGGCAGGCCUAACACAUGCAAGUCGAGCGAAGCCUUCGGGCUUAGCGGCGGACGGGUGAGUAACGCGUGGGAACGUGCCCUUUGGUACGGAAUAGCCCCGGGAAACUGGGAGUAAUACCGUAUGUGGUCGAGAGACGAAAGAUUUAUCGCCAAAGGAUCGGCCCGCGUUGGAUUAGGGAGUUGGUGGGGUAAUGGCCUACCAAGCCGACGAUCCAUAGCUGGUUUGAGAGGAUGAUCAGCAACACUGGGACUGAGACACGGCCCAGACUCCUACGGGAGGCAGCAGUGGGGAAUCUUAGACAAUGGGGGAAACCCUGAUCUAGCCAUGCCGCGUGAUCGAUGAAGGCCUUAGGGUUGUAAAGAUCUUUCAGUGGGGAAGAUAAUGACUGUACCCACAGAAGAAGCCCCGGCUAACUCCGUGCCAGCCGCCGCCGUAAUAC
rnacentral:rRNA from 1 species